AACUUAUUUCUUCUUUUUUUUUCUCAUAUUUGUUUGACGGCAUGAUUUUUGGGUCCUUUACUGAAUAGUUUUUUUAAGAAAUGUUGGAUUUUUUAGUUCUUUUGAAUUUGUAUUUUAUUUUAUUUUCGAGCCUUGAAUUUUGUAAGGACUGUUUCAUUUUUAGAAAGGUAGUUUGAUCCCAUUGAUGAAUUUUUUCAUAGCAGCUUCAAACCAACCUUUCUCCUCUUAGUCGAUCAUCUGCUUUGUUUCUUCUACAGGUAUAUCUAUGUAUACAGUUAUGUAGAUACAUAUAAUUGAUUUCUGCUAUAAUUUUACUUCUCUAGAAUGAAAAUUUGAUUUUUUUUUAUUUGGGUUUCUGAAGUUCUAAGGAUUAGUUCGUCAUGGCCAAAGUUGAUACUUCUGAUUCCGAAGUUGCCUCCUUUUUAUCUCACAAAGUUGUGCUGCAAUUCUCACAAGGUGAACAUUUAACAAAUUUGUCAUGGACAAGUCAACAAAAUAAUUUUGUUGAAUGCCUUGCAUAUAUGGACUUUUGAAUUGCUUGAUAUGUUGCUAGUAUGGAAUGCCUAUAGUGAAGAGUAGCAUUAUACUAGGACUACAAUCAAUUCAGUUGGACUGCUUUCCAAUUAGCCUACUUGAGCAUUUUCAUUUCUUACUCUAAAAGAGCUCUUAAGGUAAUCUACAUGCAUCUCUUCUUAUUAAGGUACCUUUUACAACUCUGCAUUAUUGACUAUUUGUUGUUCUUUAAAAUGUUUAUUGCAGAUAAGGAUGUUGACAUUGUUAAUUAAUUGCAGUUUUUGUUCUAUUGGUGUCCAUUGUCAUUGUCAGCCUAAGUUUUUGGACUACCAUGGGAGGUAAUUAUUCGUUGGAUACUUGAGUACUGCUUCACUAAUUUUCAUGUAUGUUUGCCAUUGAUUGUCAUCAUAACUUCGUGUCGAAUGAUCCUCAUUUAGAUUGUUCUUAGAUGGUUGAAUUUGUUCUCACUCAUGCCAUUUUUUUUUUUUUUUAGAAUUUGGUUAUCAAAACAAAAAGCAUUGAGUUCAUGCCAUUUAAUCUUUUCUUUGGAACUUUCUUAGUGAGUUUCUCAUUCACUGCACAUGGAGUGUUCAAGGUGAACCUUUUUCUCUAUGUAAGUACUAUAUUUCCUUCAAUCCAAAAUUUCAGCAGUUAUAUAAUCUCGCUCAUCAUAGCAUCUAUUCGUCAUUCUCAUUUCUUGGUCCAAAUUGCAUCUUAAAACAUGGUUGAAUGUCCUUCACAUCAAGCACCAGUCAACCAUAUCACACUUGCAUUGCAUAAUCAUUAAGUUCGUUUCUUCAAUAUUUUGGAUGCAAAUGCCAAAUGGUAUUGAGGAGCAAUUUUACCCUUUGUACAGUUGGUUUUAUUCUUCUAAAGAAGACGCGAAAGAAGAACCAUUGAUAGCUGCACAUAUGUGUUGCAGAGAUUUGAUUCAAAUUGGUGGAUUUGGUUAAGAAACUAAGAAACCCUAACAUCACUUUCGGUUUUAAGAGCUGAAAUGGACAUGCAUGUGUUCAUCUUUGUGAGAUAUAAGGGAUUGAGGAAUUUUGAGAGUGGUGGCUAGCUAAUGAAAUAGAGAAGGGAUAAUUCAUUUUGUUUUGGGAUCCAAAGUUUAAUGCGAAGUUGAAUUCUCAUGAUUUUUUUGUUGUUCUAAUAUCUUUUGUUCAUGUAUUUGAAGGUAUUAUUUUUAUUCCUGCCAAUUUAUCUGAACCCCAAUUCAAUUU